GACGAACGCUGGCGGCGUGCCUAAUACAUGCAAGUCGAACGCACUCUCGUUUAGAUUGAAGGAGCUUGCUCCUGAUUGAUAAACAUUUGAGUGAGUGGCGGACGGGUGAGUAACACGUGGGUAACCUGCCCUAAAGUGGGGGAUAACAUUUGGAAACAGAUGCUAAUACCGCAUAAAACCUAACACCGCAUGGUGUAGGGUUGAAAGAUGGUUUCGGCUAUCACUUUAGGAUGGACCCGCGGUGCAUUAGUUAGUUGGUGAGGUAAAGGCUCACCAAGACCGUGAUGCAUAGCCGACCUGAGGGGGUAAUCGGCCACACUGGGACUGAGACACGGCCCAGACUCCUACGGGAGGCAGCAGUAGGGAAUCUUCCACAAUGGACGAAAGUCUGAUGGAGCAACGCCGCGUGAGUGAAGAAGGUUUUCGGAUCGUAAACUCUGUUGUUGGAGAAGAAUGUAUCUGAUAGUAACUGAUCAGGUAGUGACGGUAUCCAACCAGAAAGCC
rnacentral:rRNA from 1 species